UACGAAGGGUGCAAGCGUUAAUCGGAAUUACUGGGCGUAAAGCGUGCGUAGACGGCCUUUUAAGUCUGCUGUGAAAGCCCUGGGCUCAACCUGGGAACUGCAGUGGAUACUGUGAGGCUGGAGUGCGGUAGAGGAUGGUGGAAUUCCCGGUGUAGCGGUGAAAUGCGUAGAGAUCGGGAGGAACAUCAGUGGCGAAAGCAGUCUCCUGGGCCAAUACUGACACUGAGGAGCGAAAGCUAGGGGAGCAAACAGG
rnacentral:rRNA from 1 species